GGGCCCUUAGCUUAGUCUGGUCUAAAGCUGCGGGCUCAUAACCCGCCGAGCGCUGGUUCGAAUCCGGCAGGGCCCA
rnacentral:tRNA from 1 species